rnacentral:ncRNA from 1 species
CUAGUCUCUGCCGGUCGUUGGCAUUCAACGACCGGCUUUGACAGGCUGACCU